rnacentral:lncRNA from 1 species
CUUUCUUUCCUUCUGUGGAUUGUUCUUCUCCCUUGAGCCCCUUAGACACCUUCCCUCCUCAGCCUCUUCAUAAGCCUUUAUUCCUAUCUUGAUGCAGGAUAGUUCGCUCUGUGUGCGUGUAAAGAACCAGAGCUGGCUAUGCCAUGACUUCCAUAUCUACUACUACUGGCUAGAUGUCACCGUGCAAAAUAAGAAGAUCAAAGUGUUCCCUGAUGGCGCAUCGCAGAUGAUGCCUAAAAUCUGUCUCCCCAUGAUGCUGUGUUCAAAGAGCAAAGCGCACAUAGGAGGCGGAAUCCUUCUCACCUUUCACCAGUUUGACCAUUGGGGGCAAGAAGCCAGCAAAGAAGAAACACAAAGUUUUCUUGUGGAAAUAUAUUACCCACUAUAAGGUUAAUCUCUCUGGGAAGGUGAACAAGAAAAGAAAAGGAACUCUGAAUUGGGAAGCUAGUCAGCUGAUUCUUAUCAACUGUCCUCCUGAACUUUAUAGAGAACAUUGCGCCAUUCUUCCAUCCACAAUAGCCUUAUGCAACCUUAGAUGGGCACAUUCUUCUCCCACAAGACCACAAAAUCACAUCGGACAAAAAGGCCCCAUAGGUAUCCUUCCAUCCCACUGCUGUUGGG